AUGUUGCAGAGCAAGUUAUAUAAUAACUUUCAAAUCCUCCUGCUGAAAUUGGCUGCCACCAGCCUGCUGGUCUUACACUUGCUGAGUCAACCUGCUCUUCUAGAUGUAGUUCUUCCAGUGUACAAGACUGACAGAAGGCAGUGCUGGCUCAGCAAAGUCAACAUGAAUAAAGGUGAUAGUAGACAGCUGCAGAAAUAAGCCAAGAAUUAGCUUCAAAUGAAGUUUGGUGCUGUUGCAUCUCCCUAGGCUUCAAAGUAUGAAGAUUUUUAAGCUGUUUCAUAAUGUAGCUGCAACUGGUUGAGGAAAGAAAACUAUCAUCUCAGUAUUUCCUUUUUUUUUUUUUUUUUACUGAACAAGUCCAAAGAAAAAAGAACACCAACUUGGAAGACAUUCAUUGAAGAGUUCUGGUGAAUGCAGAAACUGAAGUUAAUGAGGAAAUUGGAUUAAUGUAUCGUUUGUCUUCUUCUUGAUUUUCUAGAUUUAAUCCUGUCAUGGCAGGAAUCUAUGCUCACUGAAGUCUAUAAGCUGUUCCCAAUAAUGUAGGAUUAGAACCCACAGGUAUAGCUGAAAUUGCUAUUUACCUCCUUUCUCCUACAUUGAUAUAUUCUGUAUCAAAUCAAUCGCCAGUGUCUUUUAGUUUUACAUCCUCUACUAACACUCUCACUCCUUUCAAUCUGUUAUUUUUAUUUUUUUUCUCUUCGGUUCCAUUCAUUACUUCUUCUGGCAUUACAAUGAUUAGUAAGAAGAAAUGACAUUCCUUCCCUCAUGGCACAUCUUACAUAUUGUGUAUCUGCUCCAAAUCAUAGCUGCUUAAGCCAAUCAUGUUCUCACUAUUGUCUGUGCUUAUAUAUGUGCAUGUAGGCUUAUUUAUGUAUGCACAUGUGCAGCAUCUGUCAUAAGCAGCCCUGAGGUAGUCUGUUAAUAUACAAAAACAACAAAAGCAACAAUAAUAAUACAAGAGCUACAAUAAUAAUGAUAAUACAGGAGCUAUUACCAACUAUAAAAGCAAUGACUGGUUCAUUUAUUCCGUUACCUUACAGAGUUUAGUUAUUACUUUCCUUUCAAGUCAAGCCAGGACUUUUCAUGCUUCUGGACCAGCGCCAGUGCUACAUCGCAGUUUGACAAAAUGUACUGCAAAGUGUACUCUCUCAUGCACUGAUACACUGUGCACAGCUGUCAUCAUCUUUUAACCUCUUUC
rnacentral:lncRNA from 1 species